rnacentral:sRNA from 1 species
UUUGGUUAGCUCCCCGAGCUGCUACCGC